UCUCUCGCGCUGAAAUUGGCACAACCCAGUUCCAUCUUCGCGAAGGUGAUGUAACUUUCCUUCCCUCCAUCUUUAUCACUCUUGACUCUGGAGUAAGUUCCCUUCAUCUCUGUUUCGGUUCUGCUUUAUCUCAUCAUCUCUGUUCAAAUAGAAGACGACACUACUCAUCCGAUUCUGGCAACCUCCACAUCUUUAAAUCUGAAAGUAUUCUUAAUUUACCUUCGUUAGGGUUUAAUUUACCUUCCGGUUCAGGUAAAUCUCAUCCCUCUUAGGUUAGUUCUUGUUCAAUUUCACAAUAUACUUCGUUAGGGUUUAAUUUACCUUGAAACUUUUUGGUUAUUGUGUCAGGGCUACCAUCGAUUGCAUCUAUAUAAGAAUAGACACUUAGAAUUAGAACGUGAGUUAGGGCUUGAUUCAUCUAGUUUCUCAAUUUUCAUGCAAUUCCGAAGAGCUACAGCAGCAUCAUUCUCCCCAUAUUUAAUCAUCGCAACACCAGGACAAUCCAACAAUUUGAUAUUCUUGUCUAAUUGAACUUCUUGAAUUGUUCUUGUUACACCUGGUGUAGCCUUAACAUUGGCAACAUGACAUCUUUUCAAGCUAUUAAUUAGACUGCUAUUGCCUACAUUAGGCAAGCCAACUACACCCACAGUAAUCGACUUUUUAAUCUGCAUUAAAUUUGGAGUACGCCAUCAGUAGAAAACUUAUAAGUUAACACCACAUGAAAAACAAGAUAAAAAUGUUGAAAUGUCUACAUCAUGGCUUCUUGAGUAAUUCUUGACUUUUUAAUCGACUUUAUAAGAGUUUCUGCUCCUAGACAAUCACUUGUUUUAAAAGAUUAGUCGUCUUUUUUGCAGCCUUUGAGGAUUUCCAUCCCAGAUUAGAUUUCUGCUCUUGAGUGCUACACUUAAAAGCAACUGCUGACAACUCCUCUAUUAGUGACUUUCUUUUGAUUUUCCGUUUAAUUUUUUGGUGAAGCAAAAAAAGCUAUACCUGAUUAGUUAUAUUUCAACCAUCACACAUAAGGAGUUCUUUAUGUAUGAUUUUGGUUUUUAUUUCCUUUUUUCAUGCUUAGUUGAUUGAUGAUAUUCACCAAAGUACUAAUUACUUGUAAUUUAUUAUAAUUUUAUUUAUGGGUUUCUCUAGACUAAACUAAUUAUCGGUUUUAGCUUUAUCAUAUGCUUUUAUAUUGUGAUUCUUUUCUAUAGACAUUACACUAAUUAUCAGUUUUUUUCUUGAAGUGAUCUCAAAAGGCUAUCUUUGGAAGGAAUACUCACACCUGAGACGUCUGUUUUACUCAUUGUAGUUGGUUUUUGUGGACUUUUCUUGACUUUGGGGUCAGCUUCUUUUUCACUUUUGUUUUAGGCAACUGGCUUCCAUUGUUAACAAGAUUCACUUCUAUCUUGCCAUCUUCAACAGUGAAUGCUCAAGUUUCCUGCCUUUAAUCAACAAAGAAUCGAUUAGGCUCAUGAUUGGAGUCACUGAAUGCUCCUGGACGUGAUGCAAUCCAUAUAACUGAAAUUGAAACAUACAUUGAUUGCGACACUUUCAUACCAUCUAUCAACACUUCAGAAUUCCAACCAUGGUAUUCGUCAUUCCCACAACUUGAGAAUGGAAUCCGCCAUUCCUUCACUACAUAUGUUUGUGUGAAAAGUUCAGGAAUUGAAGCCCCCAAGGUUAAUGGUUCAUUGUCUGAAUGUCAUUCCGACUCACCAAAAUUUGAUGCAAGAAUGUUCUCUUUGACCAACAGGAACAACUUGGAAGGGCCUAAAAAUGGCAAAGCUUCAACUCUCACCAUUUCCAAGAAACUCAAGUUUUUUUUUAAUGACAAAAGAAUUCGCCACUGCUUUUCCUUUGGAUACAAGUGUCCCAAUGGCUUGUUACAAAGGCUUGAAGACUUGAUAUGAUAUGAUUUAGCAGUUGUUGUGUCAAAAGAAUUCGCCACUGCUUUUCCUGAUCGCACUUUCAUCUCUCCUGUAGUUGCCCUUCCUACUAAAAAAGGCAAAAUGGUAAAAACAAUGGAAAAGGGUAGCCAAUCUUAUGCCACAAGGAAAGACUGUAGCCAUGACUGAUGAAGAAAUAGUAGAGAUAGUGAUGUUCCCUGUGGUGAAUGAAGCAUGUCGUGUUUUAGAGGAAAAAAUUGUUGUUAAAGCAUCCGAUCUUGACAUUGCAUAUGUUCUUGGGAUGAGUUUUCCUUCAUAUCGUGGUGGCAUUGUUUUUUGGGCAGAUGUUGGGAGUAAACACAUAUAUACAAGUCUGAAAAAAUGGUCUGAAAAAUAUGGCAACUUUUAUAAACCAUCAAGAUUCUUGGAAGAAAGAGCCAUGAAUGGUGUCUUAUUGAGUGCACCUAUAAAUAUGGGUUCUAGAGCACGUAUGUAAGCAAGGGUAUACAACUAUAUGUUCAUGGGUUGAGUUAUAUGAAGCUUAAGUAUGAUAUGAAACAUGAUACUUUGGUAACUUUGAUAGUUUUUGUAUUAUAAUGUUUGGUUGUAUCAUUAUUUGAUGUUUUUUUAGUAUAAUAAUUUGAUGAUUGUAGUAUUUUUUUUUUCUUUUAGAAUCAUAAUAAAAAAAAAAGAUAUUACAAGUU